rnacentral:rRNA from 1 species
GUACACACCGCCCGUCACACCAUGGAAGUGGGUUGCACCAGAAGUAGCUAGUCUAACCGCAAGGGGGACGGUUACCACGGUGUGAUUCAUGACUGGGGUGAAGUCGUAACAAGGUAGCCGUAGGUGAACCUGCAGAAGGAUCA